rnacentral:rRNA from 1 species
AGUGAACGCUGGCGGUAGGCCUAACACAUGCAAGUCGAACGGCAGCACAGUAAGAGCUUGCUCUUACGGGUGGCGAGUGGCGGACGGGUGAGGAAUACAUCGGAAUCUACUUUUUCGUGGGGGAUAACGUAGGGAAACUUACGCUAAUACCGCAUACGACCUACGGGUGAAAGCAGGGGAUCUUCGGACCUUGCGCGAUUGAAUGAGCCGAUGUCGGAUUAGCUAGUUGGCGGGGUAAAGGCCCACCAAGGCGACGAUCCGUAGCUGGUCUGAGAGGAUGUUCAGCCCCACUGGAACUGCGACACGGUCCAGACUCCUACGGGAGGCAGCAGUGGGGAAUAUUGGACAAUGGGCGCAAGCCUGAUCCAGCCAUACCGCGUGGGUGAAGAAGGCCUUCGGGUUGUAAAGCCCUUUUGUUGGGAAAGAAAAGCAGCAGGUUAAUACCCCGCUGUUCUGACGGUACCCAAAGAAUAAGCACCGGCUAACUUCGUG